rnacentral:rRNA from 1 species
AUUGAACGCUGGCGGCAGGCUUAACACAUGCAAGUCGAGCGGGGAAGGGUAGCUUGCUACUUUACCUAGCGGCGGACGGGUGAGUAAUGCUUAGGAAUCUGCCUAUUAGUGGGGGACAACAUCUCGAAAGGGAUGCUAAUACCGCAUACGUCCUACGGGAGAAAGCAGGGGACCUUCGGGCCUUGCGCUAAUAGAUGAGCCUAAGUCGGAUUAGCUAGUUGGUGGGGUAAAGGCCUACCAAGGCGACGAUCUGUAGCGGGUCUGAGAGGAUGAUCCGCCACACUGGGACUGAGACACGGCCCAGAAUCCUACGGGAGGCAGCAGUGGGGAAUAUUGGACAAUGGGGGGAACCCUGAUCCAGCCAUGCCGCGUGUGUGAAGAAGGCCUUUUGGUUGUAAAGCACUUUAAGCGAGGAGGAGGCUACCGAGAUUAAUACUCUUGGAUAGUGGACGUUACUCGCAGAAUAAGCACCGGCUAACUCUGUGCCAGCCGCCGCGGUAACAC